AGACGUCUACAUUAGAUACCCGGGUAGUCCCAGCCGUAAACUAUGCGCGUUAGGUGUAUCGGUGACCACGAGUUACCGAGGUGCCGAAGGGAAACCGUGAAACGUGCCGCCUGGGAAGUACGGUCGCAAGGCUGAAACUUAAAGGAAUUGCGGGGGAGCACCACAACAGGUGGAGCCUGCGGUUUAAUUGGACUCAACGCCGGACAACUCACCGGGGACGACAGCAAUAUGUAGGCCAGGCUGAAGACCUUGCCUGAAUCGCUG
rnacentral:rRNA from 1 species